rnacentral:rRNA from 1 species
AGCUUGCUCCUUUGACGUUAGCGGCGGACGGGUGAGUAACACGUGGGUAACCUACCUAUAAGACUGGGAUAACUUCGGGAAACCGGAGCUAAUACCGGAUAACAUUUGGAACCGCAUGGUUCUAAAGUGAAAGAUGGUUUUGCUAUCACUUAUAGAUGGACCCGCGCCGUAUUAGCUAGUUGGUAAGGUAACGGCUUACCAAGGCGACGAUACGUAGCCGACCUGAGAGGGUGAUCGGCCACACUGGAACUGAGACACGGUCCAGACUCCUACGGGAGGCAGCAGUAGGGAAUCUUCCGCAAUGGGCGAAAGCCUGACGGAGCAACGCCGCGUGAGUGAUGAAGGGUUUCGGCUCGUAAAACUCUGUUAUUAGGGAAGAACAAAUGUGUAAGUAACUGUGCACGUCUUGACGGUACCUAAUCAGAAAGCCACGGCUAACUACGUGCCAGCAGCCGCGGUAAUACGUAGGUGGCAAGCGUUAUCCGGAAUUAUUGGGCGUAAAGCGCGCGUAGGCGGUUUCUUAAGUCUGAUGUGAAAGCCCACGGCUCAACCGUGGAGGGUCAUUGGAAACUGGGAAACUUGAGUGCAGAAGAGGAAAGUGGAAUUCCAUGUGUAGCGGUGAAAUGCGCAGAGAUAUGGAGGAACACCAGUGGCGAAGGCGACUUUCUGGUCUGUAACUGACGCUGAUGUGCGAAAGCGUGGGGAUCAAACAGGAUUAGAUACCCUGGUAGUCCACGCCGUAAACGAUGAGUGCUAAGUGUUAGGGGGUUUCCGCCCCUUAGUGCUGCAGCUAACGCAUUAAGCACUCCGCCUGGGGAGUACGACCGCAAGGUUGAAACUCAAAGGAAUUGACGGGGACCCGCACAAGCGGUGGAGCAUGUGGUUUAAUUCGAAGCAACGCGAAGAACCUUACCAAAUCUUGACAUCCUUUGAAAACUCUAGAGAUAGAGCCUUCCCCUUCGGGGGACAAAGUGACAGGUGGUGCAUGGUUGUCGUCAGCUCGUGUCGUGAGAUGUUGGGUUAAGUCCCGCAACGAGCGCAACCCUUAAGCUUAGUUGCCAUCAUUAAGUUGGGCACUCUAGGUUGACUGCCGGUGACAAACCGGAGGAAGGUGGGGAUGACGUCAAAUCAUCAUGCCCCUUAUGAUUUGGGCUACACACGUGCUACAAUGGACAAUACAAAGGGCAGCUAAACCGCGAGGUCAUGCAAAUCCCAUAAAGUUGUUCUCAGUUCGGAUUGUAGUCUGCAACUCGACUACAUGAAGCUGGAAUCGCUAGUAAUCGUAGAUCAGCAUGCUACGGUGAAUACGUUCCCGGGUCUUGUACACACCGCCCGUCACACCACGAGAGUUUGUAACACCCGAAGCCGGUGGAGUAACCAUUUAUGGAGCUAGCCGUCGAA